AUGCACGCUGGCGGCGUGCCUAAUCCCUGCCAGUCGCGCGAACAGACGAGGAGCUUGCUCCUCUGACGUUAGCGGCGGACGGGUGAGUAACACGUGGAUAACCUACCUAUAAGACUGGGAUAACUUCGGGAAACCGGAGCUAAUACCGGAUAAUAUAUUGAACCGCAUGGUUCAAUAGUGAAAGACGGUUUUGCUGUCACUUAUAGAUGGAUCCGCGCCGCAUUAGCUAGUUGGUAAGGUAACGGCUUACCAAGGCAACGAUGCGUAGCCGACCUGAGAGGGUGAUCGGCCACACUGGAACGGAGACACGGUCCAGACUCCUACGGGAGGCAGCAGUAGGGAAUCUUCCGCAAUGGGCGAAAGCCUGACGGAGCAACGCCGCGUGAGUGAUGAAGGUCUUCGGAUCGUAAAACUCUGUUAUUAGGGAAGAACAAAUGUGUAAGUAACUAUGCACGUCUUGACGGUACCUAAUCAGAAAGCCACGGCUAACUACGUG
rnacentral:rRNA from 1 species